AUACGGAGGAUCCGAGCGUUAUCCGGAUUUAUUGGGUUUAAAGGGUGCGCAGGCGGGGGAUUAAGUCGGCGGUGAAAUUUUGCAGCUCAAAUGUAAAAGUGCCUUCGAAACUGGGUUUCUUUGGUGGAGAAGAAGUAGGAGGAAUUUGUGGUGUAGCGGGGAAAUGCAUAGAUAUCACGAGGAACUCCGAUUGCGCAGGCAGCUUACUAAACUACUACUGACGCUCAGGCACGAAGGCGUGGGGAUCAAACAGGAUUAGAUACCCUGGUAGUCCACGCAGUAAACGAUGAUUACUAGCUGUUUGCGAUACAAUGUAAGCGGCUGAGCGAAAGCGUUAAGUAAUCCACCUGGGGAGUACGUUCGCAAGAAUGAAACUCAAAUGAAUUGGCGGGG
rnacentral:rRNA from 1 species